ACUAAGGUGGCAGACUAGUGCAUUAGGUUUAAGCCCUAACUAUGGGAACCUCCCCUUCCCCCUUAGUA
rnacentral:tRNA from 1 species